GGGGUUAAAUUAAUAAUUUAGGUAGUUAAUAAAAAGAAUUUUAAUAUUAAAAUAAUUUAUUGGGGGUUAAAGUAUUUUAAUAAAAAAAAUUAUAAAUUUUAUAGUUAAUUAGUAUUGUAGAAGAAUUUUGAAAUAUUUGAAAAAUAAUUAAGUUAAAAGUAGGUUUAAUUUGGUGUAUCUUGUGUAUCAGAGUUUAUUAAUUAAAAUUUUUAGGGGAAAUUUUCUCGAAUUUAAUAGAGUUAAUUAAUUAAUAAAUUUAUUGUUGCAUAAAUAUUUUAAAUAAUUAAUUUGAAAUGAAAUGUUAAUCGUUUUUAAAUAUAUCUAGUUUUUUUAGAAAAAAAUUUAAUUUUUAAUUAAUUUAAAUAAAUAAAUAAAUAAAUAUUUAUUUAUUUAAAUUAAUUAAAUAUUUUUAGGGAUAAGCUUGAAAAUAAAUAAUUAUAAUAAAAAUUAAAUUUAAUUAGUAAAAUUUUUAAAAUUUAAAUUAUUUUUAAAUUAUAGUUUUUUAUAAAUAAUUUUAUUUAUAAGAAAAAUUUAAUUAAGUGGGUUUAAUUUUAUAUAAAAAAAAUUAUUUUAAUAAUAAAAAUUAUAAUAUAAUGAUAAAAUUAGUAUAAUAUAUUUAAUAUUAGUGUAAUAUAUUUAAUUAUUUUUUAGUUAAUAGAAAGGAAUUCGGCAAAUAUUUAUAUUCACUUGUUUAUCAAAAACAUGUCUUUUUGAUAAUAAUUUAAAGUCUAAUCUGCCCACUGAUAUUAUUAAAGGGCUGCAGUAUUUUGACUGUACAAAGGUAGCAUAAUCAAUAGUCUUUUAAUUGAUGACUUGUAUGAAUGAUUGGAUGAGAUAUAUACUGUCUCUUUAUUAUUUUAUUUAAUUUAAUUUUUUAUUUAAAAAGAUAAAAUUUAUUUAAAAGACGAGAAGACCCUAUAGAGUUUUAUAAAAAUUUAAAUUAAAAUUUUAUUUAAUUUUUAUAUUAAAAUUUAAAUUUUUAUUUUAUUGGGGUGAUUGAAAAAUAAUUUAAACUUUUUUUAGAUUUUAACAUAAAUUAAUGAAUUUAUUGAUCCAUAAAUUAUGAUUAUAAGAAAUAAUUACCUUAGGGAUAACAGCGUAAUUUUUUUUUUUAGUUCAAAUAGGAAAAAGAGUUUGCGACCUCGAUGUUGGAUUAAGAUAAAAUUUACAUGCAAAAGUUUAAAAUUUUGAUCUGUUCGAUCAUUAAAAUCUUACAUGAUCUGAGUUCAAACCGGUGUAAGCCAGGUUGGUUUCUAUCUUUAGAAAAUAAAAACAUUUUAGUACGAAAGGAUUGAAUGUUUAAAAUAAUUUUAAAAUUGGGAAUAUUAUUAAUUUUUUGUUUAUAAAUUAAUUAAAUUAUUAAUUAGAUG
rnacentral:rRNA from 1 species